rnacentral:rRNA from 1 species
GAUGAACGCUAGCGGCAGGCUUAACACAUGCAAGUCGAGGGGUAUUGGUUUUCGGACCAAGAGACCGGCGCACGGGUGCGUAACGCGUAUGCAAUCUACCUUUUGCAGAGGGAUAGCCCAGAGAAAUUUGGAUUAAUACCUCAUAGUAUAGUACUUUGGCAUCAAGGAACUAUUAAAGUCACAACGGCAAAAGAUGAGCAUGCGUCCCAUUAGCUAGUUGGUAAGGUAACGGCUUACCAAGGCUACGAUGGGUAGGGGUCCUGAGAGGGAGAUCCCCCCACACUGGUACUGAGACACGGACCAGACUCCUACGGGAGGCAGCAGUGAGGAAUAUUGGACAAUGGGGCGCAAGCCUGAUCCAGCCAUGCCGCGUGCAGGAUGACGGUCCUAUGGAUUGUAAACUGCUUUUANACAGGAAGAAACACUCCGACGUGUCGGAGCUUGACGGUACUGUAAGAAUAAGGAUCGGCUAACUCCGUGCCAGCAGCCGCGGUAA